AGAUCCCUCCUGCAAUGAUCUUCCUUCGGCUCCGUCCUGCUAAUGAGCCGCCCAGUUGAUUGGUGAUUUUACACGCCCUGACCAAUUGUGUGCCUGGAAAGGCGGGGUUUUCACAACUAAAGCCCGGAGAUGGAUGAGUUGAGAGAAAGGAGGGGUGGGGAAAAGGUGUCGGAAGCUUCAACGUACAGUAAGCAUCACUGCGAUCGCUCUUUGAAAACAUGUCAACAAAAUUAAAUAUUAACCAAUGACAGAAGGCAUUUUCCCCUGUCUCCUUCUCCACCCCCCAAAGCCCCCCACCCACUCAAGCCGCCUCCAUCCUCCCCGUGUCCCGGAUUAAGAGAGCCCGGCCCCGGACACCGACUUCACGGCGCACCGCAAAACACCUAAAGCUACUAAAAUCUCCAAAAUCCGCAGGUGUCGGUUGGGGGCGCUGAUACCAGUAACAAGGAAAAGCCUGGUUACAGCAAACGAGAGAAGAGGCACUGUGUACCUUACCAGCAAGAAACCACACAGAGACACCUCCGAAGAACACUCCUCGUUGAAAUAAAUUCAUCGGAAUUAUUUGUUGUUUGACGCAAUAAAGACAGUUUUGUUUU